UGGUGGGGGAUUUCACACGGAUUCCUGGAGGAAUUUCGGGAUCUUCGUUCGUAUCGUGGAUCCUGCGUUGAGUGAUCUAGUCGAAGAUCGGACGCAAAGUGGCGCGGUGCUUGAUCUCAGAUUUUCCCGAUCGAUUCUCCAUUUUUGAUCGUCCAGCGUGAUUUAUCCGAAACUUCCGUCCGAUCCGUGAAACGGAGACAAUAAAGGAGACUGAUUCAUCAAGAAUAAAAAAAAAAAUUAAACAGUACGAUCAAUAUUUUGGUGUCGUGAAACAUCUAUCGUGAAAAAUGCCACAGGCAGCCCACGAAACGAAAAACAUCUUAACCACGUACUUUAUACUCAUCCUCCUGCUGAUUUGCCUCUGGUUAUUGUACUCGGGAUUGUUUUAACUUUGAAAUUGACGUUUCUCGUCAUGGAAUGAAGUAAGAAAUAUACGAAGGGAAUUACACGUUCGACGACAAUUAUAUAUCCUCGAUUGAUCAACGAUUAUACUCAGGAUACUCAGGAUACAUUGGAUACACCGAUCCCUCUUUCAUCCAAUUAACGACUUUUUUUUCUCCGCAUUUUUCUCUAUCCGCAUAAAAUCUAUUUUAAAAUGAACGAGACAAGCGUAAUCCAUUUAAGCUCUUUCAAUGUUCUCCACGAGUAUUACAUUCGCUUAUCCCAUUCUCCCAAGAUUUUAUGUAUCUCACGAUAAUUGAACGUGAAAGAGAUAGUCUUACUUCUAAUAAAAGGAACAACCAAAAUAACGUAGUUUCAUAAAUAGGUGAAUGAUUGUGAAGCACGAUGAUAAAAGGAAGCCCCGACGCAUAUUUUUCUUUGUUGAAAAUUGAAGAAUUACAAUCUCUUAGGGAUUCGAUCGAAUCGAGAUACGUUCCAAGCAUGGAAACGAUUCAAAGUCUGUGCGAAAAAACAUUGAAAGUGAAUAAAUUGGAGGAGAGAAAAAUUGGACGAGGAGCAAAGAAAAAUAUUCGAGUGCUUGCGUGAAGAUGGAAAACAUCUCGGGGUACACGGUCGAUGGGUAAGAAAUACGUGGGUGUUUAGUCGAAAAUAGCGAGCGAUGCUUCCAGCUCUUUUCGCCAAUGUACCACGGCCGUAGUAUGUCCGACGUACAGAGAACUAAAUCGGUAUUUUCGAUAGCAAUUCCGAAAAUAGACGAUAUGAACAUACAUCUUGCAUCUAUCUUGAAUAUUUCCACGCUAUAUAGAUAUUAAAAACAUGCAACGACGACGCGAUACCGACCGAAUUUUCACGGUUGUUACGCAACAUUGUUGCUGGUUCUCAUCAUGGAUCGGAUUACCGAUUCUACCUUCGAUUUCGGUUGUCUCGAAUAUUUUUACUUAUAAAUAGAAUACCGCGAAGGAAACGUAACUCUCAAAAUGUAAUCGAAACGAAUACUUUUUUUCCUCUUCCUUGUUCCUUCGUUAAACAUUGUUGAAUAAAUGUAAAUUUUUCCAUCUGUCGUAGUAUAAUUUUCACAACGCUUUCCACGGCCUCUCAAACAACGCUUUGCAAAAGCGUUCCUAUCGCGUUACACGACGAAAAUUAAUCGCGCGUAUAGCGGAGGAAGCGUGACUUCCGGUUUCGACACGGAUCGGGACAAGUGUACCGAGCCGAGAUUCUGAUUAACUAUCGUUGUUUCUCUAGAAAUUCGUAUAGUAUCUGGGUCCGUUUAUUAAAACUCUGUCCAACGUCGCGACACACUACCACACGAGGAUGAAACUUCAAAGCGGAAACACGGCAGAGAAAAUAUUUUUACUAGCUGGCGGAUGGUAAACGUUGCCUCCGUGGCGUUCCAGUAAUCGCUCGAAAUAGAUCUAAUUGCUCCAGAUUCUUGCCUGCUGUCUGUGUCAGAUUAUAUUACACAAUAGAUCGAGUCUGUGUUCGAUCGAAUUAUUAUUGACCAAGGUCUUGGAAAUAUCGAUAACCCAUAUAUAUAUAUA